UAUUAUAAGGAAAAUUUCCACAACAGUAUCUUCAAUACUAAACUCUUAAAUUAAGCUAUUAUAAC
rnacentral:tRNA from 1 species